UCGACCUCAAAUCAGGUAGGAUUACCCGCUGAACUUAAGCAUAUCAAUAAGCGGAGGA
rnacentral:rRNA from 1 species